UUUGAAAACUUUAGGCUUUCUUCUUCAUAAAAUAUGUCGGACGUCAUCACAUUUUUAUUCAUUUACAUUAGUAAGCUACAAGACAGCGUCUUUCAAAGUAUGAACUGCGCAAAAAAGAAAAAUGAAUGCGUUAUUGUACCCAGCACUUCUGAAAAUGCACUUCUGAAUGCAUCUCUGUCCACAGCACAUUUCAAACCAAACUGACAGCCAUGCUGGUAUACUACUGUUC